rnacentral:rRNA from 1 species
UGGGGAAUAUUGCACAAUGGGGGAAACCCUGAUGCAGCGACGCCGCGUGAGCGAAGAAGGCUUUCGAGUCGUAAAGCUCUGUCCUAUGAGAAGAUAAUGACGGUAUCAUAGGAGGAAGCCCUGGCUAAAUACGUGCCAGCAGCCGCGGUAAUACGUAUGGGGCGAGCGUUGUCCGGAAUUAUUGGGCGGAAAGGGUACGUAGGCGGUUUUUUAAGUCAGGUGUCAAAGCGUGGAGCUUAACUCCAUUAAGCACUUGAAACUGAAAGACUUGAGUGAAGGAGAGGAAAGAGGAAUUCCUAGUGUAGCGGUGAAAUGCGUAGAUAUUAGGAGGAAUACCGGUGGCGAAGGCGACUUUCUGGACUUUUACUGACGCUCAGGUACGAAAGCGUGGGGAGCAAACAGG